rnacentral:rRNA from 1 species
GACGAACGCUGGCGGCGUGCUUAACACAUGCAAGUCGAGCGGUAAGGCCCUUUCGGGGGUACGACGAGCGGCGAACGGGUGAGUAACACGUGGGUGACCUGCCCUUAGCUCUGGGAUAAGCCUGGGAAACCGGGGUCUAAUACCGGAUAUGACUCCGCGGCGCAUGUUGUGGGGUGGAAAGCCUUGUGCGGCUGGAGAUGGGCCCGCGGCCUAUCAGCUUGUUGGUGGGGUGAUGGCCUACCAAGGCGACGACGGGUAGCCGGCCUGAGAGGGCGACCGGCCACACUGGGACUGAGACACGGCCCAGACUCCUACGGGAGGCAGCAGUGGGGAAUCUUGCGCAAUGGGCGAAAGCCUGACGCAGCGACGCCGCGUGAGGGAUGACGGCCUCGG